rnacentral:rRNA from 1 species
GNCGAGAGACCGAUAGCGAACAAGUACCGUGAGGGAAAGAUGAAAAGAACUUUGAAAAGAGAGUUAAACAGUACGUGAAAUUGUUGAAAGGGAAACGAUUGAAGUCAGUCAUACCAACGGGAAAUCAACCUUUUGAGCUCGGUCUCGUGGGUUUUGAAGAGUUUCAAAGCCUUCGGAUUCGCGNGAUUGGGAUCUCUCGGUGUACUUUCUCGUACGGUUAGUCAACAUCGGUUUUGAAUGUCAUAAAA